rnacentral:ncRNA from 1 species
UGAACAGGGGUGCAAACGCUGAGAAAUACCCUUAUCACCUGAUCUAGUUAAUACUAGCGUAGGGAGUUCU